rnacentral:rRNA from 1 species
UACGUAGGGUGCGAGCGUUAAUCGGAAUUACUGGGCGUAAAGCGUGCGCAGGCGGUUCGUUGUGUCCGUCGUGAAAGCCCCGGGCUUAACCUGGGAACUGCGAUGGAAACUAGCGAGCUGGAGUGUGGCAGAGGGGGGUGGAAUUCCGCGUGUAGCAGUGAAAUGCGUAGAGAUGCGGAGGAACACCAGUGGCGAAGGCGGCUCACUGGCCCGGUACUGACGCUGAGGCGCGAAAGCGUGGGGAGCAAACAGG